CCUACGGGGGGCAGCAGUGGGGAAUAUUGCACAAUGGGGGAAACCCUGAUGCAGCGACGCCGCGUGAGUGAAGAAGUAUUUCGGUAUGUAAAGCUCUAUCAGCAGGGAAGAAAAUGACGAUACCUGACUAAGAAUCCCCGGCUAACUACGUGCCAGCAGCCGCGGGAAUACGUAGGGGGCAAGCGUUAUCCGGCUUUACUGGGUGUAAGGGGAGCGUAGUCGGUGCAGCAGGUCAGAUGUGAAAGGUCGGGGCUCAACCGCGGGACUGCAUUGGAAACUGUUGGACGGGAGUACAGGAGAGGUAGGCGGAAUUCCUAGUGUAGCGGUGAAAUGCGUAGAUAUUAGGAGGAACACCAGUGGCGAAGGCGGCUUACUGGACUGUAACUGACGUUGAGGCUCGAAAGCGUGGGGAGCAAACAGGAUUAGAUACCCCAGUAGUC
rnacentral:rRNA from 1 species